rnacentral:misc_RNA from 1 species
GGAUGAAGAACGCAGCGAAAUGCGAUACUUGGUGUGAAUUGCAGAAUCCCGUGAACCAUCGAGUCUUUGAACGCAAGUUGCGCCCGAAGCCAUUAGGCCGAGGGCACGCCUGCCUGGGCGUCACACGUCGUUGCCCCCCCAUCUACUCCUUCGGGAUUGCGGGGGGCGGAUGAUGGCCUCCCGUGCGCCUCGUCGCGCGGUUGGCAUAAAUACCAAGUCCUCGGCGACGCACGCCACGACAAUCGGUGGUUGCGAAACCUCGGUUGCCCGUCGUGUGCGGUCGUCGCGCAUCGAGGGCUCGAAAAAAUUGCCGGGCUCCGGCUCGGCUUUCAACGCGACCCCAGGUCAGGCGGGGUUACCCGCUGAAUUUAAGCAUAUCAAUAAGCGGAGGA